rnacentral:rRNA from 1 species
AGCAGAGGGAAAAGGAGCAAUCCGCUUUGAGAUGGCCUCGCGUCCGAUUAGCUAGUUGGUGAGGUAAUGGCCCACCAAGGCGACGAUCGGUAGCCGGACUGAGAGGUUGAACGGCCACAUUGGGACUGAGACACGGCCCAGACUCCUACGGGAGGCAGCAGUGGGGAAUAUUGCACAAUGGGGGAAACCCUGAUGCAGCGACGCCGCGUGGAGGAAGAAGGUCUUCGGAUUGUAAACUCCUGUUGUUGAGGAAGAUAAUGACGGUACUCGACAAGGAAGUGACGGCUAACUACGUGCCAGCAGCCGCGGUAAAACGUAGGUCACAAGCGUUGUCCGGAAUUACUGGGUGUAAAGGGAGCGCAGGCGGGAAGACAAGUUGGAAGUGAAAUCUAUGGGCUCAACCCAUAAACUGCUUUCAAAACUGUUUUUCUUGAGUAGUGCAGAGGUAGGCGGAAUUCCCGGUGUAGCGGUGGAAUGCGUAGAUAUCGGGAGGAACACCAGUGGCGAAGGCGGCCUACUGGGCACCAACUGACGCUGAGGCUCGAAAGUGUGGGUAGCAAACAGGAUUAGAUACCCUGGUAGUCCACACCGUAAACGAUGAUUACUAGGUGUUGGAGGAUUGACCCCUUCAGUGCCGCAGUUAACACAAUA